GACUAGAGGAAUGAAUGUGUGAUCUAUAACAAACUAACACAUGAACAACUGAAUGUACAUAACAGUACUUUACAAAAAAGUUACUUCAAGUCUGGAACUAAAAACUUAGAUGACUACACAAAAGAAAGCUAAUUUAUUAAAACGGCUGUCAAGCAAUAAUCACACCCUUCAUCUUCUUGUCCUUCUUCACAGACUGUGGAACCAUGUCAAAGUCAGUCUUAUAUUCUUCUAUCUGCUUCUUGUACCCAUGCUUGAAAAGUUGAGCAUCAAGACAUAAUCUUGAUAAUAUCUGAUCGAAAUUUUUAGCUAUCACAUCAAUCUUCCCGUAUAUGAUACAUUCCGCAUACUUAAUAACAAACAAUCCACAGUCAUGCCUGUAUAGUUUUUGAAUAAAAAAUACAACAAAUGUAAGGUGGAUGUAGCAAGUAGAGCAGGGCGUGUGAGAAAGAGUAAAUGUUGUGAUAUGUGUAUAUGUAACAUUUAAUGUGAUGUGUCAACAUCCUUACAUGUAAGUUAACAUUACAAUAUAAAUUAUAAUUAUUAUUUACUCACCCAUACUCAUCUUACGGUAUGACUCUAGCUAUCUUGAAAAUGAGAGGGUCAACGCGUUCUGCUCCAUCAAUGAUCUUGGCUGCCAGGUUUUAAUCUUAACCAUCAAGCAUGGCAGAACACAUGCAAAAAGCCUCCACAUCUGCUUGAUUUGUAAAUUGGGCAAAAAUCCAAUGAGCUUUGUUGUCCAUCAUGACUGGGAAUAGUACAUGAUCUACAUCACACCAUGGCGUAUAAUCCAUGUUCACAUAUUCCACAAGUGACUUGAAUUUUGAAAUUGCCCUUAUGUCAUCCAUCGUGACUUGUAUACUGAUCGAACCAUAGAACCAAAGAAUGAGUCGGUCGUCAUACAUCUAUAUAACUUCAAAAAGCUGAACGUUAACAUUUUCCACAAAUAGUAGAAACACACGUUUAAGUACUGCAUUGAGGUUUGGCGUCCAAAAUAAUUAGAAAAUAUACUGUAAAACUAUUGGAACUUCAGUAACAUAAAUUGAAAAUA
rnacentral:lncRNA from 1 species